rnacentral:lncRNA from 1 species
AGCUGAAAAUAAAGGGAGGGAAACAGAAUGGUUGGGAUGGAGAAGGCUUGGAACAGAGAGAGUGGGGAUUAGGAACAAGGAGAGUGGGAAUGAGGGUCAUAAUUAUAAUGAUGGUUUCUAGAGAUGAUUUAUUUUUGUAAUGAUGGUUACAAUAGGUUGAAUCAAUUUAGUAAAUGGGUGGAUAAUUUUAGUAUUUAUAUAUAUAUAUAUA